UACAGAAGCCUCAAGCGUUGUUCGGAAUUACUGGGCGUAAAGGGUCUGUAGGCGGUUUUGUAAGUCAGUGGUGAAAGCCCAUCGCUCAACGGUGGAACGGCCAUUGAUACUGCAAGACUUGAAUUAUUGGGAAGCAACUAGAAUAUGUAGUGUAGCGGUGAAAUGCUUAGAGAUUACAUGGAAUACCAAUUGCGAAGGCAGGUUGCUACCAAUACAUUGACGCUGAUGGACGAAAGCGUGGGGAGCG
rnacentral:rRNA from 1 species